rnacentral:tRNA from 1 species
GCGCCCGUACCUCAAUUGGACAGAGGAGCGGCCUACGAAGCCGAAUGUUGGGAGUUCGAGCCUCCCCGGGCGUG